GUGAACGCUGGCGGUAGGCCUAACACAUGCAAGUCGAACGGCAGCACAGUAAGAGCUUGCUCUUACGGGUGGCGAGUGGCGGACGGGUGAGGAAUACAUUGGAAUCUACUUUUUCGUGGGGGAUAACGUAGGGAAACUUACGCUAAUACCGCAUACGACCUACGGGUGAAAGCAGGGGAUCUUCGGACCUUGCGCGAUUGAAUGAGCCGAUGUCGGAUUAGCUAGUUGGCGGGGUAAAGGCCCACCAAGGCGACGAUCCGUAGCUGGUCUGAGAGGAUGAUCAGCCACACUGGAACUGAGACACGGUCCAGACUCCUACGGGAGGCAGCAGUGGGGAAUAUUGGACAAUGGGCGCAAGCCUGAUCCAGCCAUACCGCGUGGGUGAAGAAGGCCUUCGGGUUGUAAAGCCCUUUUGUUGGGAAAGAAAAGCAGCAGGUUAAUACCCCGCUGUUCUGACGGUACCCAAAGAAUAAGCACCGGCUAACUUCGUG
rnacentral:rRNA from 1 species